rnacentral:lncRNA from 1 species
GUUCUUCACAAGAUCUGAUGUUUUUAUAUGCAGCUUCCCUCUCUGCUGGUCACUCAUUCUUCUCUCUCCUGCUGCCAUAUGAAAAAGGACCCGUUUCCUUCCCCUUCUGCCAUGAUUGUAAGUUUCCUGAGGCCUCCCCAGCCCUGCAGAACUGUGAGUCAAUUAAACCUCUUUCCUUUGUAAAUUACCCAGUCUCAGGCAGUUCUUUAUAGUACCGUGAGAAUGGACUAAUACAGGUUUAAACAGUCAUUUUAGGAAAAUGUUCAAUCUCCUUUUUCUUCCUCUCUGGAUGUAGGGACCUGGGAGUGCGACAUGGUGGCCUCAGGGGAAAAGGGCUCUCGUCUAGACCUUCUGACUGUCCUCUGGAUCUUCCUGGUGUCCAUGCGGGGCUGCUGCUCUGGGCUGGCCCCAGGGCCUUUGGCCAGUGUCCAUGAGACCCGGAAUUCCAGCAACCAGUUUGACAACUCCUACAGAGAAACAGGAUCCACAUAAGGAUACAGCUUCUUCAUAUCCCUGUCCCAUGACUUCACCCUGCGUUCUUCAACCAAUCAAUGUGUCAGGCCUCUGAGCCCAGGCCUGCACGUAUACAUCCAGAUGGCAUGAAGUAACUGAGGAAUCACAAAAGAAGUGAAACUGGCCGGUUCCUGCCUUAACUGAUGACAUUACCUUGUGAAAUUCCUUCUCCUGGCUCAUCUGGGCUCAGAAGCUCCUCCACUGAGCACCUUGUGACCCCCCACCCCUGUCCGCCAGAGAGCAACCCCCUUUGACUGUAAUUUUCCACUACCUACCCAAAUCCUGUGAAAUGGCCCCACCCCAUCUCCCUUCACUGACUCUAUUUUCGGACUCCGCCCGCCUGCACCCAGGUGAAAUAAACAGCCUUGUUGCUCACACAAAGCCUGUUUGGUGGUCUCUCCACACGGACGCAUGUGACACAAUGAUC